GAGGAUCCGAGCGUUAUCCGGAUUUAUUGGGUUUAAAGGGUGCGUAGGUGGUUUGAUAAGUCAGCGGUGAAAGUUUGCAGCUUAACUGUAAAAAUGCCGUUGAAACUGUCGGACUUGAGUGUAAAUGAGGUAGGCGGAAUGCGUGGUGUAGCGGUGAAAUGCAUAGAUAUCACGCAGAACUCCGAUUGCGAAGGCAGCUUACUAAGCUACAACUGACACUGAAGCACGAAAGCGUGGGGAUCAAACAGGA
rnacentral:rRNA from 1 species